GGAAGCGUGGCAGAGCGGCCGAAUGCACUCGCCUUGAAAGCGAGAGACACGAGAGUGUCCGGGGGUUCGAAUCCCUCCGCUUCCGCCA
rnacentral:tRNA from 1 species